AGACUGUCUAGCUGGGUCCCUAGGACCACACGGGUUGGGACUCAGAUCAGUGCCUUGCUUAGCCAUCCUCAGGGAAGCUGCUUCUUGCGGUAGAAGGGAACUACUCAGGGGACCCACAACUGAGCAGUGACUCUGGAACACUCCAUCCUAAAUGGUGGCGUCUUCAUCGACAGCAUCUUCAGAGACAACAGGAACCACACACAUCAGAGACAGGCAGCACAGGCCCAAGCAAGAUGGGGUCUCAGCACUGAGGAGGAACUGAACACAGCCUCCCUGCCCACCCAAACACAAGCUUUCCAGCUGACGCUCCCAUGUGAAGGAUUUUCUGAACUCCAACAACCUCCCUUGGGUCACUGUUUUCUCUGUUACACUUGUGUAUUAGAGCACACUGGAAUGGAAGCACGGUUGUCCACAGCGUCCUCAGAGCCUUGGCUGAAGCAGGCGUUUCUUCCCACCCCUCCUCCACUUACUGUGCACGUCGUCCUCGGCAUCAGACUCUUCCAGAGAGACCUGAGGUUGGGCUUUCACCUCCAGAUUUCUGCUGAGCCAGCUUGUUUGUUCCAAGGAGGAGCCAGCGAUGGUACCUACAGCUUCCAGGAUUCUCUGAGUGAUUUCCUGGAGAGCCAGCAGAAGCAAGACUUAAUUAAGGAGAAGAAAAGAGCCGGUGCAUACCACUGUCUGACAGGUACAGGGCACAGGCCACCGCGUGAGUCACCGUGGCACCAGUAGACUUUCAAUGAGCCACGCUGAGAGGCGAAAAGCAGCUGGGAUGACAGAUUUUAGUAACAGGUUCUCCACCUACAAAUAUCCAAUAUAAACAUCUGCAUCACACUCUGCAGCUGUCUCCUACCCUGGCUGGCUUUGGACUCCUGUGGGUACUGUAUGCUUACAACGACCAGGAUCUUCUCUCAGCAUGUGGUGUUGUGGCUCUGCUCUCUACCAGCCGACAGGUAAAGUCUGCAGGACUGAUGGGAAAGGCCGGCUUUCUGGUUCUCCUGGAUCGUGGUUCGUGCUGGUAUGAACUAAACACUACAGGACACCACUGUUACUAAGCUGCUGGACUUGAGACUUUACAAAGUUUCGUGGACUGCCAGGCCACACCAACAGUCGGCCGAGUCACUCAUGCUGAGUCCGUGGACAUGGACUAUCCUGCGGCUGCCUGCCUGCCUGCCCUCCGCUCCCGAGAAAGCAGAGCCUGUGGGGCAGACUUAUCCUUUAGUCUUGUUCUCCUCCGCCUGUCUCUGUCUGCAGAACCAGUAGCCUCUGCUGAGCUCACCAGAACACUUGCUACUUACUCUCUUUUAUGGGAUGAAGCAUGGCCUUAUUCUAGAAUCACAAUAGAGCCAGUCAAGAUCUUUAUAAACAGUGCUGCGUGCUGUUGUGCAUGACUGAAACGCCAACACUUGGUAGGCAGGGAGGGGGAGCCUUCAGCCAGGGCUAUACAGAGUGACUGUAUCUUAAACAAAGAUAUCCUUAAAAUAAAUUGCUGUAGUUUU
rnacentral:lncRNA from 1 species